rnacentral:rRNA from 1 species
UACGUAGGGUGCGAGCGUUAAUCGGAAUUACUGGGCGUAAAGAGUGCGUAGGCGGUUCUUGAAGUCCGCUGUGAAAGCCCCGGGCUUAACCUGGGAAUGGCAGUGGAAACUGGAGGACUUGAAUUGAGCAGAGGGGGGUGGAAUGCCGCGUGUAGCAGUGAAAUGCGUAGAUAUCAGGAGGAACACCGAUGGCGAAGGCAGGUCUCUGGGCUGACACUGACGCUCAUGCACGAAAGCGUGGGGAGCAAACAGG